rnacentral:lncRNA from 1 species
CUGCCGUCCUGGUUGGCAGGUGGCUGCUCGCCCUGGCUGACCAAGUCUCCAGUGGUGGCCAGCUUCUCCAGGAGGACCCGAGGAGUUCAACCAGCGCCUUGGCUGGAUGUCUCACUGUCCUCCUCUGUGUCCUCCUAGAAGUGAAGUAGCCUAGGCCAAGCUCGAGGGUGGCAAUGUCUGUCUUUCUCUCCCUCUCGCCCUUCAGACCCUUCCCUCCCUCCAGCCCCUGCCAGGUGGCACGCUACCCUCCAGCCCUCGGGUGAGGUCCUUUCCCAGAGUGGGCGGGCGCUCUGGGAACUCAGCGCUGCCCUCGGGAGGGUCUGCUCCCCAGUGCGGAUGUAGCCGACGUAGCCGGGUGUAGCUGUCAGCUUUCUCUUCAAAUUAAUGCAGAAUAACUGGGACUUGCUUGCGUCCCAGGAGUUGGGCUUCCAGAGACAAGUGACAGUCACCAAAGGAUCAUUUACAACUCACAAAGGGAAGCGGGUUCAACAGCUUGGAAUUUUCCAUUUGUACCAGUGACCUUACCAGAGGGCCCCUGCCAGUGUUGGGAGCCCACUGUGCAGGCCACUCAAGGUGGCCUGCCCACUCUCCUGUGGGCUGGGCCCUCAUGCCCACCCAUCUGGCCCUCCUAUGCUGUUGGCCCAAGGGUCUGGGUGGUGAUAUUAAUUAAUGCAACUCCAGGUGGUACCUCCUGAUCCUCCACUUGGCCCUGCAUCCUGCUUGUAGCCUGUAAUUUUGAGCCUGCCCACUCUCUAGCCUGGGCAGGUUAGAGUCCUCGUCAAACAAUAAGCAACUGACAGCAGCCGCCCCACUACACCCGAGCCCGGGGGGAGCGGGGGGAGGCAGCUUCUCGUUGGUAGGCGCCUCUGCUUCCCAGAGCCUGGACUGCCUGAGCUCCUCCCUGCCCCUCCCCAGGCCAAGGGACAGCAAGCCCAUUGGCAUGGGUCUCGCCCGCCCUUCUGUAUCAAGGAAGGGACUCCCCAAACCUUGGGAAGGGGGGAGGGAAUUCCCAAGGAAAUCCAGGGCCUGAGAGGGACAGUACGGGUGAACCUCACAGGACUGGCCUGCCCACUGGAGCCAGGUUGCUUUGAACACCUCCCUGGAGAUGGCAAGUCCACUGCUCAGUGCACAGACCCAGCUCCUGCUCCACACCUGGCUCCUUCCCACGACCCCUGCAUCUAGGGCCCAGCACGCAGCAGGCGCCUGGCACAGACCCGUGCAGUCGGACCCAACCUGGAUUCUGUGCAAGGCUGGGGGGCACUUCCUUCCUGUGGGAAGGUGGGCGACACUGGAGAGGGGCCGAGGGCCUGAUUAUGGAUGGGCGUCCUUCUGCCUUCCAGUCACUCAGAAGCUCUCACAGCCAAGACACACUGCUUUUUAUUUUUGCAAAAUAAAAUGGCUAAUUAAAUUGCAUAUACUUUCUGAAUAAAACACACAGACACACAAGGCUGUAUCAUAAACAUCUGUGCUCUUGAAGCUCAUCCAGCUCCCACGUGAGCUGCUUCCUCAUCAGCUAGACCACAGCGCACUCACCACCGCCAAACCGUGGCGCGAGCCGAGGUGAAGGCUUGACCCGCAGACACCAGGUUGCUGUAGAAGAGAAACGUGGCAAACACGCGUAUGAAGACCGGGCACCCUUGCUAUCACCAGGCCCCGCGAGCCCGUGCUGCCCGGCCUCCUGGUCUUAGGAGUGUGGGCU